rnacentral:rRNA from 1 species
CCUACGGGAGGCAGCAGUGGGGGAUAUUGCACAAUGGGGGAAACCCUGAUGCAGCGACGCCGCGUGGGUGAAGAAGCGCCUCGGCGCGUAAAGCCCUGUCAGCAGGGAAGAAAAUGACGGUACCUGAAGAAGAAGCCGCGGCUAACUACGUGCCAGCAGCCGCGGUAAUACGUAGGGGGCAAGCGUGAUCCGGAUUUACUGGGGGUAAAGGGGGCGCAGUCGGCGAUGCAAGCCAGGAGGGAAAGCCCCGGGCCCAACCCCGGGACUGCUCUUGGAACUGCGUGGCUGGAGUGCAGGAGGGGCAGGCGGAAUUCCUGGUGUAGCGGUGAAAGGCGUAGAUAUCAGGAGGAACACCGGUGGCGAAGGCGGCCUGCUGGACUGCAACUGACGUUGAGGCCCGAAAGCGUGGGGAGCAAACAGGAUUAGAUACCCUGGUAGUC